AUUCAUGCAAGCUGUCCCACCCCCCUCUUUCCAGUUUGCUCUGAAAAUGAGUCUGAAGCUGAAGCUGACCAGCAGAUGGACAACUUGUACCUGAAAGCCUUGGAGGGUUUCAUUGCUGUGGUGACCCAAGAUGGCGACAUGAUCUUUCUGUCAGAAAACAUCAGCAAGUUCAUGGGACUUACACAGGUGGAGCUAACAGGACAUAGUAUCUUUGACUUCACUCAUCCCUGUGACCAUGAGGAGAUUCGUGAGAACCUGAGUCUCAAAAAUGGCUCUGGUUUUGGGAAAAAAAGCAAAGACAUGUCCACAGAGCGGGACUUCUUCAUGAGGAUGAAGUGCACGGUCACCAACAGAGGCCGUACUGUCAACCUCAAGUCAGCCACCUGGAAGGUCUUGCACUGCACGGGCCAGGUGAAAGUCUACAACAACUGCCCUCCUCACAGUAGUCUGUGUGGCUACAAGGAGCCCCUGCUGUCCUGCCUCAUCAUCAUGUGUGAACCAAUCCAGCACCCAUCCCACAUGGACAUCCCCCUGGAUAGCAAGACCUUCCUGAGCCG
rnacentral:sRNA from 1 species